rnacentral:rRNA from 1 species
UGUGAACGUUACCAAACUGUUGCCUCGGCGGGAUCUCUGCCCCGGGUGCGUCGCAGCCCCGGACCAAGGCGCCCGCCGGAGGACCAACCAAAACUCUUAUUGUAUACCCCCUCGCGGGUUUUUUUAUAAUCUGAGCCUUCUCGGCGCCUCUCGUAGGCGUUUCGAAAAUGAAUCAAAACUUUCAACAACGGAUCUCUUGGUUCUGGCAUCGAUGAAGAACGCAGCGAAAUGCGAUAAGUAAUGUGAAUUGCAGAAUUCAGUGAAUCAUCGAAUCUUUGAACGCACAUUGCGCCCGCCAGUAUUCUGGCGGGCAUGCCUGUCCGAGCGUCAUUUCAACCCUCGAACCCCUCCGGGGGGUCGGCGUUGGGGAUCGGCCCUCCCUUAGCGGGUGGCCGUCUCCGAAAUACAGUGGCGGUCUCGCCGCAGCCUCUCCUGCGCAGUAGUUUGCACACUCGCAUCGGGAGCGCGGCGCGUCCACAGCCGUUAAACACCCAACUUCUGAAAUGUUGACCUCGGAUCAGGUAGGAAUACCCGCUGAACUUAAGCAUAUCAAUA